ACGAACGCUGGCGGCGUGCCUCAUACAUGCAAGUUGCGCGAUUAAGAUUGGUGCUUGCACCAAUUUGAAGAGCAGCGAACGGGUGAGUAACGCGUGGGGAAUCUGCCUUUGAGCGGGGGACAACAUUUGGAAACGAAUGCUAAUACCGCAUAACAACUUUAAACAUAAGUUUUAAGUUUGAAAGAUGCCAUUGCAUCACUCAAAGAUGAUCCCGCGUUGUAUUAGCUCGUUGGUGAGGUAAAGGCUCACCAAGGCGAUGAUACAUAGCCGACCUGAGAGGGUGAUCGGCCACAUUGGGACUGAGACACGGCACAAACUCCUACGGGAGGCAGCAGUAGGGAAUCUUCGGCAAUGGACGAAAGUCUGACCGAGCAACGCCGCGUGAGUGAAGAAGGUUUUCGGAUCGUAAAACUCUGUUGGUAGAGAAGAACGUUGGUGAGAGUGGAAAGCUCAUCAAGUGACGGUAACUACCCAGAAAGGGACGGCUAACUACGUG
rnacentral:rRNA from 1 species